rnacentral:rRNA from 1 species
GCUAACUACGUGCCAGCAGCCGCGGUAAUACGUAGGGUGCGAGCGUUAAUCGGAAUUACUGGGCGUAAAGCGUGCGCAGGCGGUUGCCUAAGCCAGGCGUGAAAUCCCCGGGCUUAACCUGGGAAUGGCGCUUGGGACUGGGCAGCUAGAGUGCGGCAGAGGGAGGUGGAAUUCCACGUGUAGCAGUGAAAUGCGUAGAUAUGUGGAGGAACACCAAUGGCGAAGGCAGCCUCCUGGGCCGGCACUGACGCUCAUGCACGAAAGCGUGGGGAGCAAACAGGAUUAGAUACCCUUGUAGUC